ACAGUCUCAUUCAGUUGCUGCAUCAAGCUUGAAGUCCACAAAUUACAGAAAAGGGGUCCCAAUCCAGACCCCAAGAGAGGGCUCUUGGAUCUCACGCAAGAAAGAAUUCAGGGUGAGUCCAUAAAGUGAAAGCAAGUUUAUUAGAAAAGUAAAGGAAUAAAAGAAUGUCUACUCCAUAGACAGAGCAGCCCCAAGGCAUCUUGGCUGAUACAGAUUACCUUGGACUUUCUUUUCCAUGUGGCUGGUUUUUGCCUACGACUGAAGGUUCUUCCUAUUUUUUCCCAUGACUGAUGAUGUUCAUUCAUAUUUAACAACAAAAACCUGGGUGACUGGUGUAGCUUUCUUCUGCCAUUGUGAAGUUUGAUGGCAUGUCUUUAUAUCAUGGCCAUGGGCAGGACUUGGAAAAAGUUUUACCACUAAAGCAUCUAUGAACUCAAGAAAGAAAACACUGGCUAUGUACAAUGAUGACUGUGAUCUUUUAAAUUUAUCUCAAAUAGCGAACCUACCAGUCAUACUGAGAGGAAAUCACCACUGGAGAUCCCAGAAGCAUAACAAUUGUCCCUUCCAAGUAGCAAGAAGUUACUUCAUCUUCUCAUCAGGACAAGGUUUCCAACUCUGUUGCCUCUGCAGGGGUGGAUUUGUGGAUCCUGAAUUCUGGCAGCUGUGUGAUCCACACCUUGGCUAGCACCAGAGGUCAUUGGCUAAGUGCUAUGACAGCAGGGAUUCUCCAAGGCCAAGCCCAUGGGGUUCAGGCCAGGGAUGAUCAAUCAUCAGGCGAAGGUUCCAGGACAUGAAGUGCAUCACAGGUGCUCUCCAGGAACAGGUACCCAGCCAUGCAGGACUAGGAGAGGCCCAGGGCAGCCCUGAUUCUCACAUGUCCACCCACUGGCAGGAGCUGACAGCUGUGCAUGACUAGCUCUCAAAGGCCCAGCUGCAUCCUGCCUCCUCCUGCUUCUGUUGAGUCUGGCAGCUACAAGCAAGAGUAUGGGAAAGCAGAAGACAGGAAGACAGGUGAACUCAUGGAAGACGGAGGCAGAGGGGAAAGUAGAGGCUCUGCAGACCCCAUCAUGGAGAACAAGAAACCGAGUGGGAGCUUAUCGACUUCAGCCUUACCCCAGGACGCACUCUCAACCAAGUUUACUCUCUGAACAGCUCUGAAACUUUUGGUUCAGUCGUGGCUGAACCAACAGGAAAUCAAGGGAAAUGGCACUUAUUUAUUAUGCAGCCGUAGGCCAAUU
rnacentral:lncRNA from 1 species